AGGACGAACGCUGGCGGCGUGCUUAACACAUGCAAGUCGAGCGGAAAGGCCCUUCGGGGUACUCGAGCGGCGAACGGGUGAGUAACACGUGAGCAACCUGCCCUUAGCUCCGGGAUAGCUCCGGGAAACCGGAAUUAAUACCGGAUACGACCACGGCCGACAUCUGCUGUGGUGGAAAGGAUUCCGGCUAAGGAUGGGCUCGCGGCCUAUCAGCUAGUUGGUGGGGUAAUGGCCUACCAAGGCGACGACGGGUAGCCGGCCUGAGAGGGCGACCGGCCACACUGGGACUGAGACACGGCCCAGACUCCUACGGGAGGCAGCAGUGGGGAAUCUUGCGCAAUGGGCGAAAGCCUGACGCAGCGACGCCGCGUGGGGGAUGAAGGCCUUCGGGUUGUAAACCCCUUUCAGCAGGGACGAAGCGAAAGUGACGGUACCUGCAGAAGAAGCGCCGGCUAACUACGCGCCAGCAGCCGC
rnacentral:rRNA from 1 species